CUCAAGAUGAGAUUUCCCAACUUCGGUUAUAAGAUCCCUCAAAGAUGAUGAGGUUAAUAGGUUCGAGGUGGAAGCAUGGUGACAUGUGGAGCUGACGAAUACUAAUCGAUCGAAGACUUAAUCAAAA
rnacentral:rRNA from 1 species